UAGGGAAUCUUCCGCAAUGGACGAAAGUCUGACGGAGCAACGCCGCGUGAGUGAUGAAGGCCUUCGGGUCGUAAAACUCUGUUGUUAGGGAAGAACAAGUAUCGGAGUCACUGCCGGUACCUUGACGGUGCCUAACCAGAAAGCCACGGCUAACUACGUGCCAGCAGCCGCGGUAAUACGUAGGUGGCAAGCGUUGUCCGGAAUUAUUGGGCGUAAAGCGCGCGCAGGCGGUCCUUUAAGUCUGAUGUGAAAGCCCACGGCUCAACCGUGGAGGGUCAUUGGAAACUGGGGGACUUGAGUGCAGAAGAGGAAAGCGGAAUUCCACGUGUAGCGGUGAAAUGCGUAGAGAUGUGGAGGAACACCAGUGGCGAAGGCGGCUUUCUGGUCUGUAACUGACGCUGAGGCGCGAAAGCGUGGGGAGCAAACAGGAUUAGAUACCCUGGUAGUCCACGCCGUAAACGAUGAGUGCUAAGUGUUAGAGGGUUUCCGCCCUUUAGUGCUGCAGCUAACGCAUUAAGCACUCCGCCUGGGGAGUACGGCCGCAAGGCUG
rnacentral:rRNA from 1 species